AUGCUGAAAGCAAAGCACACCCAGCUCUUAAACUCCAGAAAGUGCCUAAAGCUACCUUGUUUACACACAGAAAUAUCAGGUGUAACAUCUGGAACACCUUCUCCUCCCAGAAAGCCAAAUAUUGAGGUCAAAGCUUUGGAAUUCCAGUGGUGCUGUGUGUAUGUAGCAGGUACAGGCACAAACAGGAAUAUUUCCCAGUCAAGGUUGGCUACUGUGAAAGGAGGGCAGCAUCCUUUGUUUGGGACUUGGAGGAGCUGCAUGAUUCAGGAACAGGAAGAGCCGGGACAGAUAGACUGGGACCCUCCAGGGUACUGAGGAAACUCCAAAGAAGUACAAUGUGUCCAGUGUUGUGUCCUGGUUUGGCUUCAAGGUAGUACGUGCUCAAUUAUUCUCGAACCCUUGGACAGGAACUGCAUGUAUGUCAGCCAAGAGAGUUUGGAAUAUCUGGGCAAUACCUGUGGACUGAUUUGCUUUCUAGAUAUGCUGCUUUCCAGCCAUUAAUCCAGCUCUGAAAGAGCUGCAGACCCUAUUACUGUGAUUACAAGUCACAGAACAACUUUUUUGGUGUUGUGGGACCAAUGCUUUGCUUUCAAUUAGAACAUUUCUAAUUCUCUUAAACAUUUAUUGAAGUAUAUAUUUUUGCAAAUGUUUAGAGUAUGGUUUACAUUUCAACUAAACCAACUUUAUGAUGAACCACUGGAAUAAAAUAAUCUUCAGAUAAUCCUAAAGUUUAUUA
rnacentral:lncRNA from 1 species